rnacentral:rRNA from 1 species
AACGAACGCUGGCGGCAGGCCUAACACAUGCAAGUCGAGCGCGCCCUUCGGGGUGAGCGGCGGACGGGUGAGUAACGCGUGGGAACGUGCCCUUUUCUACGGAAUAGCCUCGGGAAACUGAGAGUAAUACCGUAUACGCCCUUUGGGGGAAAGAUUUAUCGGAAAAGGAUCGGCCCGCGUUGGAUUAGGUAGUUGGUGGGGUAAUGGCCUACCAAGCCGACGAUCCAUAGCUGGUUUGAGAGGAUGAUCAGCCACACUGGGGCUGAGAAACGGCCCAGAAUACUACGGGAGGGAGCAGUGGGGAAUCUUAGACAAUGGGGGCAACGCUGAACUAGCCAUGCCGCGUGAGUGAUGAAGGCCUUAGGGUUGUAAAGCUCUUUAAGCUGGGAAGAUAAUGACGGUACCAGAAGAAGAAGCCCCGGCUAACUCCGUG